UACAGAGGGGGCAAGCGUUAUUCGGAAUUAUUGGGCGUAAAGGGCGCGUAGGCGGCUUGGCAAGUGGAAAGUGAAAUCCCUCGGCUUAACCGAGGAACUGCCCUCCAAACUGCUUUGCUUGAGGCCGGGAGAGGUGAGUGGAAUUCCCAGUGUAGCGGUGAAAUGCGUAGAUAUUGGGAGGAACACCAGUGGCGAAGGCGGCUCACUGGACCGGUUCUGACGCUGAGACGCGAAAGCGUGGGGAGCGAACAGG
rnacentral:rRNA from 1 species